GGGCUGGUGGUGAAAUCCGGUAUCAUACACCCUUGGCUUGGGUGAGGCUGCGGGUUCAAAUCCCGCCCAGUCCA
rnacentral:tRNA from 1 species